GCGACGCCGAUGAUCCUGGGGUCUCCAAGAUCGUGAGGGAGCUGAAGGUAUGAAAGGAAGCAAGGUUGCAGUAUGUUUUAGCAUGUGGUUUGAAGACCAACAAAGAUAUUUAAUUUUGCUAUAGCCUAGUUUGUAACUUUGUAUAAAAAUGCUCUAUUAAACUGUAGAUGAGAUGAGCCUUCAGAUUUAGAUCAUCCAAUAUUUUCCAAUGAUGGCUCGUUUGGCAAUGCGUGGUUUGAAGUGGAACAGUUCUGUUUUUCUCAUUCAGAUUGCCUGGAACAGUUCUGCAAAGGCAUCUUCUUAUUCAGAUAAAAGCAAUAAUUCUUAUAUUAGGUUUACUGUUGUCAGUCUUUUAAAAUUUCAUUUUCGUUCCAACAUCAGUGUACACAUUGUGAUAAUUCAGUUUGUAUUAUUAGGUUUGUAUAGACAUGGAGCACCCUUUUGCUUA